AUAUUUACUAUAACAUCAAAUGUGGUAACAUUAACAUGUAUUUGCUCUCACACAAGUUCCAACUUGUCUAACUUUCAUUACUUGAAGAGACAUCAUACAAUUCUAUACAGAGGUAUAAAAGCUGAACACAGCAGAAUUGACACAUUCAAAUUGUGGUGCUGGAGAAGACUUCUGAGAGUCCCUUGGAUGGCAAGGAGGUCAAGACAGUUAAUACGUAAAGAAAUUAAUACAGGCUGAUUACUGGAACGUUAAAUACUGAAACUGAAGCUUAAAUACUUUGGCUACAAAAUGAGAAGAUGAGAUUCAUUGGAAAAGACUCAUGUUGGGAAAGAUUGAAGGUGAAAGGAAAAGGGAAUGGCAGAGGAUGAGAUGGAGGUGAAUGGUGUCAUAGAAACAAUGAACAUGAACUUGUCUGGACUUUGAGAGAUAGUGGAGGAUAGAAGGAUCUGGUGUGCUAUAGUCCAUGGGGGUCAUGAAGAGAUAGACAGGAUUGGAUAAUAAGAGACAAAGAAGCUUGGGGAUAUUAAAGCAGUAUGCAGUUACUAGAGACAUCAUACCAAGAAUCCCUAUUGGUUUGGAGAAGAGAUGGUCAGUAACAAAUGAGUCAAGAACCAAUUUCAGCACUCAAAAUGUAUACCAGCAGACAAGUACUGGGCUCUGCAUGUUAAUUUUAAGAACAAUCCUGGGAGGGUAGAAUGGCAAGGUGAUCACAGAAAGCUUACCAGCAGAAGUUUCCACCUGGUAUUCAGGUCUUCCAGACUAUUGA